CCCCAUUGGAAUCCAUGGGAAGGUGUGUUUCUUCCCCUCCCCCGUUUCCUGUCUAUUGUUCUCAAGCAGGGAGUUGUCCCAGGGACACUGCCAGACCAGUGGGAACUGGUUUGGGCAGAAAAGCCAUGCUUCCUUGGGUCACAAAGGACUUCUAACUAACUUUUGAACUAAUGGAAGGAUUUGCAUGAUUUUUGGGUAUGUUUGUAUUUGGGAUGUGCUGAUUAAUAAUAUGUGACUUUUAUUAAUAUUGGAUGUAUGGUUUUAGAGUUAUGAAAGUUGGG